AGGGAGAUUUGGGUGUGUGAUCCACAUCAUUGCUUUACAAACUAAAAGUAGGGGUGCGUGAAGUAACUGAACUUCAUCAACACUUCAGCAACAGGUCUUUAGAUGCUCAAUUUGUCUGACAGAGGUCCCACACCCCAACCAAGCAUACAUAAACCACGAAAAGAAUUCUUAGUUACAUACAGGCCUUGACUUGUCAUAUCACAUUAACUAUUGUAAGAACUGAAAAUAAGAAAUGUUUUCAAUUGUUCAAGCAACUUAACUCUUAACUUGCUCACUCAAGAUAUUUCUAUUUGUAUUAUAAAACAAAACAAAACCAUUAAUGAGAUCAUACAAACAUACAAGCUCACACCUCCAUAACAGAAUGACAUUUCAU
rnacentral:misc_RNA from 1 species